UCUGCGCUGCUCCCCCAGCUGAGUGCCUCCGGCUGUAAACCCCAGAUUCUCCUGGUGGAGUCGGGAAAGGGGAGCGUCAGUGCUGAGGGAGCUUCCGUCUCCUCCCUCAGUGUUUCUGCCCCAGACAUCACCAUGGAACAUGUGGGGGUUUGUGCCUGCAGGCCGGGAUGCUGCAGGACUCCCUGGUCCAUCACCGUUAUGUCUUGGAGCUGCUCCAGUCAGUGAAUGACUUUCUGUGGCUUGGAGUACGUUUUGGUUACUGAGACCCUUGAAUUCCCAUAUGAAUUGUAGCAGCAGCUAGUCAGUUUCUGCAGAGGAGCCCGCUGGGAUUGUGAUCGAGACCACGUUGAAUAUACGGAUUGCUUUGGGGAGCACUGCCAUUCCAAGAGCUCUGUCUUCUGAUCCAGGAAUAUGCGUGGUGUGUCUGUCCAGGUGCCCUCACCUCCAGUAGCAUUCAUCCAGACACCAGCACUGACACUGGCCGUGCUCAGAACUGCCUCAGACCUGAAGACAAAACUGACAAAUAGAA